AUUGAACGCUGGCGGCAGGCCUAACACAUGCAAGUCGAGCGGAUGAAGGGAGCUUGCUCCUGGAUUCAGCGGCGGACGGGUGAGUAAUGCCUAGGAAUCUGCCUGGUAGUGGGGGAUAACGUCCGGAAACGGGCGCUAAUACCGCAUCCGUCCUGAGGGAGAAAGUGGGGGAUCUUCGGACCUCACGCUAUCAGAUGCGCCUAGGUCGGAUUAGCUAGUUGGUGGGGUAAAGGCCUACCAAGGCGACGAUCCGUAACUGGUCUGAGAGGAUGAUCAGUCACACUGGAACUGAGACACGGUCCAGACUCCUACGGGAGGCAGCAGUGGGGAAUAUUGGACAAUGGGCGAAAGCCUGAUCCAGCCAUGCCGCGUGUUUGAAGAAGGUCUUCGGAUUGUAAAGCACUUUAAGUUGGGAGGAAGGGCAGUAAGUUAAUACCUUGCUGUUUUGACGUUACCAACAGAAUAAGCACCGGCUAACUUCGUG
rnacentral:rRNA from 1 species